ensembl:lncRNA
AUUGCGAAUGCCAUUGAAUCGUACACUUAAAAAUGGUCAAGAUGGCAAAUGUUAUAUAUAUUUCACCCCAAUAAGAAAUAGUUAAAAAAAAGGCAACAGGGCAGAAAAGUCCCACAUUGAUGAAUACUUGACAAUGGCUUUCUGACCCUGAACAGAUCCUCCACCGGGGGAAACCAAGUCUCUGAAAAGCUUCCCCCAGGUGUUCAAGGUCGUGUGUGAGGAGGAGGGCUGAGGACUGAUUGAGUUGGGAGCAGCCAUGGGGAGCAAGGAGGAUGCUGACCCCAAUCUGUGACCCUAGACAGGCUCGCCCUGAACAUUUACAGAACCUGGGGCAAGAGACCAAAGAGAACUGCAGGCUCUUGGCUGGUGCUCUCUCCCCUGGGCGCUCAGUGAAGGGAGGAGGAUGGACCUGGGGAAAGAAGCCUGCGUGGACCCUGGAGGUGAGCUUGAGGUCAUCCUGGCAGGGAAUUCUGGGAGUAUAGGUACUUAGAGUGUGGUCUUGGGGUAGGGUGUGGGCCCCUAGAGGGCAUGUCCCCUUGGCCCCAUGGACUCUCCAGGUGGAAGGUGAGACUGGACGAGAGCCAGGCAGGGACCCUGUUGAGGAAUGGAAGGGAUGCUGAAGCCACGGGGUGUGGAGGAGGGGCAUCAGUCGAUCCAGUGUGCUCAAGGAAUGGUUCUGGGAGGAAGGGUUGGGAAGUGUGGGAAUUGUGUGGGCUUCCCCACCUCACACACACCCCUCCCUGUGAGAUGCCUCACAAGCAGGGGGCUACUGAUGGGGAAACCUGGAGGAGAGUCAGGGUGAGGGAAUUGCCAGGUCCCCCUCCAGCCUUGUGCAUCCAGUUUGGAGCAGACCCGGAGGUGGAGGGGG